rnacentral:rRNA from 1 species
UACAUAGGUGGCAAGCGUUGUCCGGAAUGACUGGGCGUAAAGGGAGCGUAGGCGGUCUGUUAAGUUGGAAGUGAAAUCCCGGGGCUCAACCCCGGAGCUGCUUUCAAGACUGACGGACUUGAGUGUAAGAGGGGUAAGCGGAAUUCCUAGUGUAGCGGUGGAAUGCGUAGAUAUUAGGAGGAACACCAGUGGCGAAGGCGGCUUACUGGAUUAUAACUGACGCUGAGGCUCGAAAGCGUGGGUAGCAAACAGG